GAAGGGACUUCAGACGUUCAACUUCCUCAUGUUAUAGAGGAAACUGAGGCACAUAGCAUGGAUUCUAGAGCUAGAGCUCUAAGGGACCUCAGAGGUCACCCAGUACAAGUUCCUCAUCUUACAAGUGGAAAAAAGUCACAUUAAGUCCGAGCGAGACAGAGCAAAGGGGACCUUGGAAAUAGAUCAUGUAGGCCAAGGAUUCUUACUGUCCAGAAAAACACGGGCUGCUUGGACAGUUGGGAGAAUCCUACACUCCCACCCUCCUCAGACUGAUGUUCAUCACCUACAUUCAUCCUUGAAAGAAAUGCUUCAUUUCAGUUACAGGUCAAUGACAUGGAAGAUACCAUUUUUUUUCCCUCACUGAGAUAACUUUUGUCUGGUCCAAUCCAACACUCUCAUGUUACAAAAAGGGAAACAGACCUAGAUAGGUUAAGGGCUAUUUCAAUUAGAGGUUAAUGACAUCUUUUUCUGAGAUAAUUUUUGUCUGAUCUAAUCCAACGGUCUCAUUUUAUGAACAGGAAAACCGACACCUAGAGAGGUUAAGUGGUGUCCUUACUACGCAGGUAGUGAGUGCCAGCGCCUCAACUUUAAUCCAGGGUCUCUGGAUUCAGAUUAGGGUCUCCCUACCAAACCCACUGCUUCCCACAUUUGGUGGCCCCCCUCUCCAUGAUCAGCCUCUGGGCUCGGCAAUUUACUUUUCCUACAAAGGGAUCUUAUUGGAUCUUCAAUAGGGCAGGUGAGCUUAGUUCAGGGGCUGAGAAAUACAAAGCCCUUUGGGCUUUACCUUGGUUCACUUUGGAACCAAGGCCUUUAACGCAUAUGAAUUAUUGAUGGCUUUCAAGGCCUUGUUUGAAUUCCUUUGCGCUUUGAAAAAAUUUGGGAAUGAACCUGACUUCUGCCUUGCUGCUUUCACGGAGCCAUAGAAUGUCAAAGCUGAGAGGAUCUCAAAAGUUCUCUUUUCUCACCCUCAUUUGUCAAAAGGCCGAGGGAGGUUGGAGUUAUAGAUCUGGAUACUGAAAAAUAGCCAGUGCGCUCUAUGUGUGAAAGAAAAGCUUUAAAAAAAAAAAAAAACUUUUCUGUUUAAAUAUAUAUUUACAGUUAGAAACUCCCCCUGUCAAAUCCUCUUUAAAUUCCCAAUGAGAAAAUUCAUAAGCCUCCUUUCUCUUUACUAAGAGAAACUCAGAUUUCAAUUGAGUCAUCAGGGAAGGCGGAGGCUGGCUUGUGAUUUUAUACAGGGCAGUUAUUGUGAGCAUUUAGAAAACCUCCCUGCUUAGGAGUGAAAUUUAUGAUGUUUGCCAGGUUAAUCUGCUUUCUCUAAUCGGACUCUUAAUCAUCCAGUCUCCUCCCUGUGAUAUGGAUUCAUGAAUGUGAAUGGGGCGGGCUGCACAGUCAAGGGAAGAUGAUAAAUUGUCUUUUCGUUUGGGGGGCAUUUAUGAUUAAAAGGUUCAUAAUAGAAUUAAAAUGAAAUAAGUCCUGUAAUUUUACUGCUCUGUUCCUGCCAGGUAUGAAUAAAAAGGGCUGGGCUCAGAAAAAUGCCGUUCAGAUGGAGAGUGGAAACUGUAGGAGACAUGAAGAAAGGAGGCUUUGUGCUUUCUGAAAGCAGGAGGGAGACUGGAGAGUGGGUGGGUGGUGUUAAGUACCCCGUGCUGAGCUGUGGAGGAACUACAGGGAAUUCAAAUGACCACAGAGGGAGAAUGAGAAAUUAGCCACCGGCCACAGCUCUCCUCAGUGGAUGCGACUGGGGAGGACUGGGUGCUCCAUAAUUAUUCAGGCAAAAGCGCUCCACCUUGGCAGUCAUUGAGUUACCAUGAGUGUGUCCUUAAGUCCACUCUGGUCAGUUCCAUCAGGUGUCACACCGACACUUAGAAGAACUGAAAAGUGACUAGUUUUAUUCUAUCUGACCUCAGAACUGGGAGCGAGGGGGAGAAGAUAAAAGGGAAGCGAGUGGAGACUCCAUUGAUGAAAACUCCCAGGAUGGAAAGGGCUUCCUUGGCAGGUUCGUCUACAUAGACUGGCCAAGCGAACUGGAGAGUUCUGAUGAUCCCCUUCCCCAUCUGCUAUUGAGGGAUUGGGGUGUGGGGAACUGCAAGGUUCGUAUGGGGUGUCCCUAUUGAUUAGUUUCCUUAUGUAAACCUUUUUCUUCUUUAAUCUGCAGGUGAGAGGGAUCCAGAAUCAGGAGAGCAAAUCAGAUCUCCUGGGGAAUUGAUUAUAAAAUGUACCACCUGUUACAUGCUAUCAAUUGUUCUAUCUCAGCCAAAAGGUGGUUGGUCAAGUCCCUAUGGGAAUUGAGAGGAAAGAGGACUGAUCAAAGCUUGAAAAACUGAGUGGCGAGCACCAGGGGAGGAGAGAUGGGGGAGUACACACCUGUCUCGGAGUUUCCCAGCCUGGUGAGAGGUGCCCGGAUAGCCCUCUCCUCUCUCUGUUGAAGAAAUCUUACCUUUAUCUGAUGAAGUGAAACCUAGAAACACCCUCUGAAGGCACUUGCCAGUCACUUGGGCACUGGAGAUGAGGGGGACAGGAUCACUCCUCCUACGGCUGUGCUGUGCUGAGCAAGGACACGGGGCAGCUUUAGCCCCCGUGCAGCGAUCCGGCAUCCUCGGGGCCUCCAGGAGCAGGGAUUAUAGACAUGGAGCAUCAUGACAGGCAAGCAGCUCACACCCUGUAGUAGGGGACCUGAAGGAGGGCUGGGAAGUGGAGGGAGCGCAGAGCUGCUGACAUGCCUGGUGGGAAACAGCAAAUGCUUGGGAGGGAGACCCAUGGUCAUCUGGAGGGUCUUGGAAAUGGCAUAAAAAUGUAUCUGGGCCAGACUGAUUGAAGGCUCACUUUUACCACAGUAAAACACUCCAGGGGUCUUAAUGACUAUCGAUCGGCAAGAAAGAUUUCCUCCCAGGAGGCAUUUAUGUCACAAGGAGCGGUCGAACUAAAGGGUACAAGUGAAAGACCAAACCUCCCGCUUCAGGGGGGCCGCAGAGAGCUGCCUGCUGUCUCCAAGGUACUCUGGCAAUAUGGAACAGAAGCAGGGUUUAUUUAACUCGGAUUCUCUGACCCAAGGUUCACUGCUUUUUGUCCAGUGAGAGGAAAUGAGUUCCUGGGGGCUGAGUUUGGGCUAGAGGAGACUAAGGGUCCAAACCUCCUUUUUCCUUUUCCUUUUGGUUAUGGGUUGUAUAAAUUUGGUAAGAAACCACUUUAAAUGCAAGAUAGCAUGUAGAAUUUAACAACCAAGCCCAGCAAAUGAAACACGUAGAAUUGGGGGCUGUAUGUCCCAAUGGAAAGAUCAGGGUACAGUCUCCGAGCCCUGGCAUGUACCACAGCCUAGGACUCCCCCCAUCCCUGACCCUAAUGCCCUCAUCCAUACAAUGAAAAGGUCGGAGCGAUCAAGUGUUCUCUUUCUGAAAAGCUUUUAAAUAAAAACAGAACAAAACCAAAAA